UACAGAGGGUGCAAGCGUUAAUCGGAAUUACUGGGCGUAAAGCGUGCGUAGACGGUCGUGUAAGUCGGGUGUGAAAGCCCCGGGCUCAACCUGGGAAUUGCAUUCGAAACUGCUCGGCUAGGGUGCGGAAGAGGGAAGCGGAAUUUCCGGUGUAGCGGUGAAAUGCGUAGAUAUCGGAAGGAACACCAGUGGCGAAAGCGGCUUCCUGGUCCAGCACCGACGUUCAGGCACGAAAGCGUGGGGAGCAAACAGG
rnacentral:rRNA from 1 species